rnacentral:rRNA from 1 species
UACGUAGGGUGCAAGCGUUGUCCGGAAUUAUUGGGCGUAAAGAGCUCGUAGGUGGCCUGUCGCGUCGGCUGUGAAAACUCGGGGCUCAACUCCGAGCUUGCAGUCGAUACGGGCAGGCUAGAGUUCGGUAGGGGAGACUGGAAUUCCUGGUGUAGCGGUGAAAUGCGCAGAUAUCAGGAGGAACACCGGUGGCGAAGGCGGGUCUCUGGGCAAUAACUGACGCUGAGGAGCGAAAGCGUGGGGAGCGAACAGG